GGUUCCAUGGUCUAACGGUCAUGACUGCGGAUUCUGAUUCCGCCAGCGAGGGUUCGACUCCCCCUGGAACCU
rnacentral:tRNA from 1 species